UGGGUGCUAGAUUUUCUCGCUGUGUUGAAGACCCAUUGGUGGCCUUGGGUUGUUGUCUCUUUGGCAUUCCCCAUUUUCAUUAUAAAUUUCAUUAAGUGAAUAUAUGCAUACAAAAUAUGCAUGGAAAUGAGAUGUGCCAGUACUCAUACAACGGAAUAUUGAAUAUCAUUGAUAUACCUUAAAUGGCUCCAAAUGAACUGACCCUAGUGAUGAGCUUAAACAAAAUGUGGCUGCCGUUGCAGGAAACAGCGUGCAUACACAAGUCUUGCUUUUCACCACUUCAAUGCAAGAUAACAAGUUUUUGGAAUUUAGCCGGUUAAUAUUCUUUUUACAGUAACAUGUUUG
rnacentral:lncRNA from 1 species